AUAUGGUAACCAAACAGAGCGUAAAGGAAACACCCCGUAGCAAAACAUUGCUUGUCAGGUUCUACUUUAUAAUAUUAUUAAGUAAAAAAUGGUCCACAUUUUCUUGCAAAACAUGCAACAGAAGCAAAAGCACUAGAGAAGAAAGGGGAAAAGGCAAGAGGAUCUGUUUUUGAGGAGAUGGGGAAGCUGUUUGUGGUGAAUCUUGAAGGGAAGAUCUAUAGCUGCAAGCACUGCAGAACCCAUCUUGCUCUGUAUGAAGAUAUUGUUUCAAAGUAUUGGCUGAAGAAAUCAAGGGUUGAAUAGUAUCAGAACAACUUCCUAAAAGAGCACUGAUCAAAAUUUGAUCUUGUCGAAACCAUAAGGCGAAAGCUGGGUUGGCUGUUUUGUCUUUUUCAGAAAGAAAUUGUGAUGGUGCAACCGGUGAACCAUCAAUAAAAUCAAGUAAAUCAAGACCAAUUAAGGUUGAUUGGAUCUGUUUUCUCCAAACAGGAAAAUUCUCCGGAGUAAGUUUAAUUGGAAAAUGCGUUGGAGCAUUUAAUUGAAUGACGGUAUUGGAUGACGAAGCCAUUAAUUAAAAGAAAAUUGGAUCAGAAAACUCGUGAGAGCAAAUUGCGGCUCUGAUACCAUAUAGAAGAUUUAUGAUAUUGAGAAUUC